CCGUAUUCAUAAACAGUUAGAGCAUUGAUCAUCAGUUGCUGAUAACCGGAUGUCACAAAACGUGAUUCAUAAACACUUUUUAGCGCUAAACAGUUGAUCAUCUCUUUAUUAAAUCCUCGGAAAGUUACGGAGCCGAGGACCCUUCUUUAUCUGUUUAUUAUCUGCUAUUUUACAAGAUGGCGGUCACGAAACAGCUGAUUUUGGCAAGAGUGACAAGAGCAAGAGCAAAUAGUACGUUUUGGUUAAAAUCCCAAAUGUGAAUGGAAAACAACUUUAAUAUGUGCAAUUACGUAUUACAUACCUGGAUAUAGUGCGAAAAUGGCGCGAAACCUAAAUAUCCCGCUUUUUAUAAGUUGUUUAUGUGAUUUUGUGUAUGGUGAUUUUCGUUUAACCAAAAUAUCGAAGAAGGCAACAGAAUUCUAUGAUCGCGUAGUCGGAAAAAUGCAUCAUAAACGGAGCGAGUUCCUCCCUCACAGCUAUUAGGCGUUUGGAGAAAUAGGUAAAAGAAGUGUGCACUCUUGUCAGUCUGGUAAAGUGAUGAAAAAUCUGAAAAAGUCACGGGUAUAUGCAGUCAUUGCAUAGGCAGUUUGCUCAAUAUUGGCUUUGAGCAUAACAAUUUGGCCUCCAGGUUUCUUGCUGAUUUCCUGCUGGGACUUGCAGUGUACGGAGUCAGUUACAUUUCUCUGACCAAUAUUCACAGCUGUUCACAG